ACCAGACCUUGUUGUUUUUUUUUUUUAAUAUUGUUACUCUAGUUUAAUACAAAAAUAUCAUUCUUUGAGCAUUUCUUCAGGCUUCACCCUUGUGAAGACUCCUAGGCACAUGUGAAAUUAACAAAACUUUUAUGUUUUUCUCUUGUCAACCAAUCAGUUUUGUAUUGAUUGGAAUCCUAAAUCUAGCCAGAGACCCUACAUAAGAACCAAGAAGAUAAAAGAGCUUAUUCUCUCUGACAGUGAAGGACUUUGAUUUAAAACCUGAAUUGUUUCUGACAAUAUGUGCUCCAGUAGAGUGCUGGAGAGAUGACUCAGUGGUUAAAAGCACUGGCUGCUCUUCCAAAGGAUUUAGGUUCAAUUCCCAGCACCCACAUGGCAGUUCAUAACCAUCUAUAACUCCAGCUCCAGGGUCCCAAUGCCCUCUUCUGGUCUCUAUGGCUACUGCACACAUGUAGUGAACAGGCAAACAUGUAGGCAAACAAAACACCCAUACACAUAAAAAUAAACAAAAAAUUAAAAAUAUUGAGGACACUAGGGGCUGGAAAGAGAUGAAUCAGUGGUAAAGAGUUGCUGCCAGGCAAUUGGGAAGAGCAGAAUUCAGAUCCCAGAACUCAUGUAAGACACUGCUACAUGUACAGUCAUGCAUCGGUGCAUGGCUGUAACCCAGCUCCAAGGAGAACUGAAGCAGGAUCAGUCCCGGGGUUCACUGGCUGCCAGCCUAGUUGAGGAAAUGCAGACUCAAAGUUCAGGAAGAAUCCUUGUCUAAAAGGUAAAGGCAGAGAGUGAGAGAGGCUAUACCUGGCAGCUGCUUUUAGACUCUCUCUGCAUGAAUAGACUUGUAUAGCAUUCUCUAUGAGUACCGCGCACACUCAUACAGACACCUUUCCACAGGACUCAGUCUUUUUAAAAAGUACUGAGGACCCUGAAUACCCUUUAUUUAUAUGGGUCUAUCAUCAACAUUUUUACAAUACUAGGAAUUUAAACUGGCAUAUCUAAUGCCUAUGAAUGUGUAAAUUCUAUUAGGUGUCAUAUAUCACACUGCAGCCUUUGGAAUGCUACAAUACACACUGAUGAGAGAGAGGGAGAGGGAGAGGGAGAGGGAGAGGGAGAGGGAGAGGGAGAGGGAGAGGGAGAGGGAGAGGGAGAGGGAGAGGGAGAGAGAGAGACAGAGAGAGAGAGAGAGAACCUGGAUGUGAUGGUAUGUGCCUAUAAAUUCUAACACUUUGGGGGCCAGCCUGGCUUGCAUGAAACCCUGUU
rnacentral:lncRNA from 1 species